rnacentral:rRNA from 1 species
CAACAUGCCUUCAAGCGGGGGAUAUGCCGGGGAAACUCGGUGCAACACCCCAUAGCAUUCCGGGUUCGCAUGGACCUGGGAUUAAAUCUCCGGAGCUUGGAGAUUGGCAUGCGUGACAUUAGCUAGUUGGCGGGGUAACGGCCCACCAAGGCGACGAUGUCUAGCUGGUCUGGGAGGAUGAUCAGCCACACUGGGACUGAGACACGGCCCAGACUCCUACGGGAGGCAGCAGUAGGGAAUAUUGGACAAUGGGGGGAACCCUGAUCCAGCCAUGCCGCGUGAGGGAAGAAGGUCCUCUGGAUUGUAAACCUCUUUUGGCGGGGGACAAACCUGCGCUAUACGCGCAGCUGAGGGUACCCGCAGAAUAAGCACCGGCUAACUCCGUGCCAGCAGCCGCGGUAA